UUCGUUGAAGUGAAUAAUAACAAGUUUCUGCGGUCAGUUUUUUUUAAUUACUGAUGUGCUGGGAAACACACAAAAAAAAAAUAUUUCUUGGAUUAUCUAUGAUCAUAGGUAAGAGUUGUCGGAGUCGAAACUUUGAUCGGAUGAUCGUCUCUACCAUCGCUCUCCAUGUCUCCGCUCACCAUAAACUUCUCUCCUGGCAAUAAUAAUCCCCUUUAUCAUCUCAAGAUUUUCAAUUUCAUGUUACAGACCCCCUAAUCACUUAGCAGGUUUGAGAUAAUUGAAAAGUUGGAUUCAAUUUUCUUUACUUUCAGGAGCCAGUGAAGCAACAUGAUGAAAACCCAGUUAUUAUACAGAUUACAUUGGAACAACUCAUCAUGGACCAAUAACUAACAACGCAACGAUAUUAGGAGAUUGGUAGUACAGAGG